UCGGAUUGUAGUCUGCAACCCGACUACAUGAAGCUGGAAUCGCUAGUAAUCGCGGAUCAGAAUGCCGCGGUGAAUACGUUCCCGGGUCUUGUACACACCGCCCGUCACACCAUGGGAGUCGGAAAUGCCCGAAGCCGGUGACUCAACCUUUAAGGAGAGAGCCGUCGAAGGCAGGUCUGAUAACUGGGGUGAAGUCGUAACAAGGUAUC
rnacentral:rRNA from 1 species